rnacentral:rRNA from 1 species
UUGAACGCUGGCGGCAGGCCUAACACAUGCAAGUCGAACGGUAACAGGAAGAAGCUUGCUUCUUUGCUGACGAGUGGCGGACGGGUGAGUAAUGUCUGGGAAACUGCCUGAUGGAGGGGGAUAACUACUGGAAACGGUAGCUAAUACCGCAUAACGUCGCAAGACCAAAGAGGGGGACCUUCGGGCCUCUUGCCAUCGGAUGUGCCCAGAUGGGAUUAGCUAGUAGGUGGGGUAACGGCUCACCUAGGCGACGAUCCCUAGCUGGUCUGAGAGGAUGACCAGCCACACUGGAACUGAGACACGGUCCAGACUCCUACGGGAGGCAGCAGUGGGGAAUAUUGCACAAUGGGCGCAAGCCUGAUGCAGCCAUGCCGCGUGUAUGAAGAAGGCCUUCGGGUUGUAAAGUACUUUCAGCGGGGAGGAAGGGAGUAAAGUUAAUACCUUUGCUCAUUGACGUUACCCGCAGAAGAAGCACCGGCUAACUCCGUGCCAGCAGCCGCGGUAAUACGGAGGGUGCAAGCGUUAAUCGGAAUUACUGGGCGUAAAGCGCACGCAGGCGGUUUGUUAAGUCAGAUGUGAAAUCCCCGGGCUCAACCUGGGAACUGCAUCUGAUACUGGCAAGCUUGAGUCUCGUAGAGGGGGGUAGAAUUCCAGGUGUAGCGGUGAAAUGCGUAGAGAUCUGGAGGAAUACCGGUGGCGAAGGCGGCCCCCUGGACGAAGACUGACGCUCAGGUGCGAAAGCGUGGGGAGCAAACAGGAUUAGAUACCCUGGUAGUCCACGCCGUAAACGAUGUCGACUUGGAGGUUGUGCCCUUGAGGCGUGGCUUCCGGAGCUAACGCGUUAAGUCGACCGCCUGGGGAGUACGGCCGCAAGGUUAAAACUCAAAUGAAUUGACGGGGGCCCGCACAAGCGGUGGAGCAUGUGGUUUAAUUCGAUGCAAUGCGAAGAACCUUACCUGGUCUUGACAUCCACGGAAGUUUUCAGAGAUGAGAAUGUGCCUUCGGGAACCGUGAGACAGGUGCUGCAUGGCUGUCGUCAGCUCGUGUUGUGAAAUGUUGGGUUAAGUCCCGCAACGAGCGCAACCCUUAUCCUUUGUUGCCAGCGGUCCGGCCGGGAACUCAAAGGAGACUGCCAGUGAUAAACUGGAGGAAGGUGAGGAUGACGUCAAGUCAUCAUGGCCCUUACGACCAGGGCUACACACGUGCUACAAUGGCGCAUACAAAGAGAAGCGACCUCGCGAGAGCAAGCGGACCUCAUAAAGUGCGUCGUAGUCCGGAUUGGAGUCUGCAACUCGACUCCAUGAAGUCGGAAUCGCUAGUAAUCGUGGAUCAGAAUGCCACGGUGAAUACGUUCCCGGGCCUUGUACACACCGCCCGUCACACCAUGGGAGUGGGUUGCAAAAGAAGUAGGUAGCUUAACCUUCGGGAGGGCGCUUACCACUUUGUGAUUCAUGACUGGGGUG